rnacentral:rRNA from 1 species
AAAGCGAGCGGCGGAUGGGUGAGUAACACGUGGGGAACCUGCCCCAUAGUCUGGGAUACCACUUGGAAACAGGUGCUAAUACCGGAUAAGAAAGCAGAUCGCAUGAUCAGCUUUUAAAAGGCGGCGUAAGCUGUCGCUAUGGGAUGGCCCCGCGGUGCAUUAGCUAGUUGGUAAGGUAAAGGCUUACCAAGGCGAUGAUGCAUAGCCGAGUUGAGAGACUGAUUGGCCACAUUGGGACUGAGACACGGCCCAAACUCCUACGGGAGGCAGCAGUAGGGAAUCUUCCACAAUGGACGCAAGUCUGAUGGAGCAACGCCGCGUGAGUGAAGAAGGUUUUCGGAUCGUAAAGCUCUGUUGUUGGUGAAGAAGGAUAGAGGUAGUAACUGGCCUUUAUUUGACGGUAAUCAACCAGAAAGUCACGGCUAACUACGUGCCAGCAGCCGCGGUAAUACGUAGGUGGCAAGCGUUGUCCGGAUUUAUUGGGCGUAAAGCGAGCGCAGGCGGAAGAAUAAGUCUGAUGUGAAAGCCCUCGGCUUAACCGAGGAACUGCAUCGGAAACUGUUUUUCUUGAGUGCAGAAGAGGAGAGUGGAACUCCAUGUGUAGCGGUGGAAUGCGUAGAUAUAUGGAAGAACACCAGUGGCGAAGGCGGCUCUCUGGUCUGCAACUGACGCUGAGGCUCGAAAAGCAUGGGUAGCGAACAGGAUUAGAUACCCUGGUAGUCCAUGCCGUAAACGAUGAGUGCUAAGUGUUGGGAGGUUUCCGCCUCUCAGUGCUGCAGCUAACGCAUU